ACAUUGGUGGUUCAGUGGUAGAAUUCUCACCUUUCAUGCGGGAGACCUGGGUUUGAUUCCUGACAAUGUA
rnacentral:tRNA from 1 species